rnacentral:sRNA from 1 species
UUAGUUUACAUUCCGAGCAGACAGUUGUGUUCUAUUCUUUUGUAUAAAAUUUUGGUAAAAAUCAAAAAAAAACGUUAAUAAUAUCCGACUUUUCGGCAAGUAGAGUCAAAAUUAUCGGUCUCCAGCUUGCAGUUUCGUUCUUUUGUACUUAGGAUUAAGCGUAAAGUGAAAAUCAGUCACAGACAGUUCAGACUAGGCUUCUAUACGUGCUUCAGAUUAGAUUUCCUUUCGCGUUUUACGUACGAACAAAAAGAUAUAUAUAUUCCUAUAUACUAACUAACUAACUAACUAACCGUCACACGGCAACGGAACGAACACCUUCAUGGGCUUUGAAGAUUUGCAAGAUUUGCAGAGUUGAGAUUUUCUGAUUUACCGAAGAUUUGAAACAUAUGUCCAUAUACCAUGACAACAUAUGUAUGACAAUCAUACCUAGACCUUCCGAUAUUCUGAGCUUGAGCUGUAAGCGACACGAAGAAACGCUGUUAAGGGACGACAUCCACAACAGCGCCGAUUACAAGUCCCACCACCAGAUGAACUGACCCAGCAGACUCCACAGAUAAUGAAGACGACCAAACACCAAGUGUGUAGUAACGACACAAAAAAAGUAACAGCGACUCCAUAAGCGAAGCAAAUUCCAGUGCACCUUUGGCGAAUCAAAAUCGUAUCCAGUGCCCAAAUCCGCAGUACAGCCACGAAUUCCAGGGGGCGAACUUCCGACUGCGGGGAAAGGCUAUCGCCGGAUGCCACGACGAGCCGAGGGAUCAGGAGCAGAUCUUCCCGCCGCCCGAUUCCCGGCGAAGCCCAUCCAGCCCGGAGCCCUCCCGGCGCGUCCUCCGGAGCCUCGGUGCCCUGGUCGGAUCGCGCGGCGCCCCUUGUGCGUGGAUCUCUGAUUUGUACCCAGUAGCCUUUAACGUUUUGAAAAAUCAUCCUCGGAAAUACACGACACACACACACACA